rnacentral:rRNA from 1 species
CCUACGGGUGGCAGCAGUGGGGGAUAUUGCACAAUGGGGGAAACCCUGAUGCAGCGACGCCGCGUGGGUGAAGAAGCGCCUCGGCGCGUAAAGCCCUGUCAGCAGGGAAGAAAAUGACGGUACCUGAAGAAGAAGCCCCGGCUAACUACGAGCCAGCAGCCGCGGUAAUACGUAGGGGGCAAGCGUUAUCCGGAUUUACUGGGUGUAAGGGGAGCGCAGACGGCGAUGCAAGCCAGGAGUGAAAGCCCGGGGCCCAACCCCGGGACUGCUCUUGGAACUGCGUGGCUAGAGUGCAGGAGGGGCAGGCUGAAUUCCUGGUGUAGCGGUGAAAUGCGUAGAUAUCAGGAGGAACACCGGUGGCGAAGGCAGCCUGCUGGACUGCAACUGACGUUGAGGCCCGAAAGCGUGGGGAGCAAACAGGAUUAGAUACCCCUGUAGUC